GGGGAAUAUUGCGCAAUGGGGGGAACCCUGACGCAGCAACGCCGCGUGAGUGAAGAAGGUUUUCGGAUCGUAAAACUCUGUCAUAGGGGAAGAAUAAAGUGACGGUACCCUAUGAGGAAGCCCCGGCUAACUACGUGCCAGCAGCCGCGGUAAUACGUAGGGGGCGAGCGUUGUCCGGAAUUACUGGGCGUAAAGGGUGCGUAGGCGGCUGUUUAAGUCAGAUGUGAAAUACCAGGGCUCAACCCUGGGGGUGCAUUUGAAACUGGGCAGCUUGAGUGCAGGAGAGGGAAGUGGAAUUCCUAGUGUAGCGGUGAAAUGCGUAGAGAUUAGGAGGAACACCAGUGGCGAAGGCGACUUUCUGGACUGUAACUGACGCUGAGGCACGAAAGCGUGGGGAGCAAAC
rnacentral:rRNA from 1 species